AUCCAGACUCCUACGGGAGGCAGCAGUGGGGAAUAUUGCACAAUGGGGGAAACCCUGAUGCAGCAACGCCGCGUGAGUGAAGAAGUAUUUCGGUAUGUAAAGCUCUAUCAGCAGGGAAGAAAAUGACGGUACCUGAGUAAGAAGCCCCGGCUAACUACGUGCCAGCAGCCGCGGUAAUACGUAGGGGGCAAGCGUUAUCCGGAUUUACUGGGUGUAAAGGGAGCGUAGACGGCGAUACAAGUCUGAAGUGAAAGCCCGGGGCUCAACCCCGGGACUGCUUUGGAAACUGUGUUGCUGGAGUGCUGGAGAGGCAAGCGGAAUUCCUAGUGUAGCGGUGAAAUGCGUAGAUAUUAGGAAGAACACCAGUGGCGAAGGCGGCUUGCCGGACAGUAACUGACGUUGAGGCUCGAAAGCGUGGGGAGCAAACAGGAUUAGAUACCCCAGUA
rnacentral:rRNA from 1 species